rnacentral:rRNA from 1 species
GGUUAAGUGAAUAAGGGCGCACGGUGGAUGCCUUGGCACUAGGAGCCGAUGAAGGACGGGACUAACACCGAUAUGCUUUGGGGAGCUGUACGUAAGCUAUGAUCCAGAGAUUUCCGAAUGGGGAACCUAACAUCUUUAAUAGGAUGUUACGAUUGUGUGAAUACAUAGCACAUUCGAGGUAGACGCAGAGAACUGAAACAUCUAAGUACCUGCAGGAAGAGAAAGAAAAUUGAUUCCCUGAGUAGCGGCGAGCGAAACGGGAAAAGCCCAAACCAGCAAGCUUGCUUGUUGGGGUUGUGACUCAAUAUGGUAGUUCUUUCAGAUAGUCGAAUGACUUGGAAAAGUCAGUCAAAGAGGGUAAAACCCCCGUAGACGAAAUGUGGAAGACACCUAGGAGGAUCCUGAGUACGGCGGAACACGAGAAAUUCCGUCGGAAUCCGGGAGGACCAUCUCCCAAGGCUAAAUACUCCCUAGUGACCGAUAGUGAACCAGUACCGUGAGGGAAAGGUGAAAAGCACCCCGGAAGGGGGAGUGAAAUAGAACCUGAAACCGUGUGCCUACAACAAGUCAAAGCCCGUUAAUGGGUGAUGGCGUGCCUUUUGUAGAAUGAACCGGCGAGUUACGAUUGCAUGCGAGGUUAAGUUGAAGAGACGGAGCCGCAGCGAAAGCGAGUCUGAAUAGGGCGUUUGAGUAUGUAGUCGUAGACCCGAAACCAUGUGAUCUACCCAUGUCCAGGUUGAAGGUGCGGUAAAACGCACUGGAGGACCGAACCCACGUACGUUGAAAAGUGCGGGGGAUGAGGUGUGGGUAGCGGAGAAAUUCCAAACGAACUUGAGAUAGCUGGUUCUCUCCGAAAUAGCUUUAGGCUAGCCUCGGAAUUGAGAAUGAUGGAGGUAGAGCACUGUUUGGACUAGGGGCCCAUCUCGGGUUACUGAAUUCAGAUAAACUCCGAAUGCCAUUCAUUCAUAUCCGGGAGUCAGACUGUGAGUGAUAAGAUCCAUAGUCGAAAGGGAAACAGCCCAGACCACCAGCUAAGGUCCCAAAAUAUAUGUUAAGUGGAAAAGGAUGUGGGGUUGCACAGACAACUAGGAUGUUGGCUUAGAAGCAGCCACCAUUUAAAGAGUGCGUAAUAGCUCACUAGUCGAGUGACCCUGCGCCGAAAAUGUACCGGGGCUAAACAUAUUACCGAAGCUGUGGAGUACACCUUUAGGUGUAUUGGUAGGAGAGCGUUCUAAGGGCGUCGAAGGCAGAUCGUGAGGACUGCUGGAGCGCUUAGAAGUGAGAAUGCCGGUAUGAGUAGCGAAAGACAGGUGAGAAUCCUGUCCACCGAAUGACUAAGGUUUCCUGGGAAGGCUCGUCCGCCCAGGGUUAGUCGGGACCUAAGCCGAGGCCGACAGGCGUAGGCGAUGGAUAACAGGUUGAUAUUCCUGUACCCGUUGUUUUUGUUUGAGCAAUGGAGGGACGCAGGAGGCUAAGGAAUGCAGACGAUCGGAAAUGUCUGUCCAAGCAGUAAGUCUGAAGAGGAGUCAAAUGCUUCUUUUCUUAAGGACAAGCUGUGAUGGGGAGGGAAAUAAUAGUACCGAAGUUCCUGAUGUCACACUGCCGAGAAAAGCUUCUAGUGAGAAAACAGCGGCCCGUACCGCAAACCGACACAGGUAGUCGAGGAGAGAAUCCUAAGGUGAGCGAGAGAACUCUCGUUAAGGAACUCGGCAAAAUGACCCCGUAACUUCGGGAGAAGGGGUGCUGAUCAUACGAUCAGCCGCAGUGAAUAGGCCCAAGCGACUGUUUAUCAAAAACACAGGUCUCUGCAAAAUCGUAAGAUGAAGUAUAGGGGCUGACGCCUGCCCGGUGCUGGAAGGUUAAGAGGAGUGCUUAGCGCAAGCGAAGGUACGAAUUGAAGCCCCAGUAAACGGCGGCCGUAACUAUAACGGUCCUAAGGUAGCGAAAUUCCUUGUCGGGUAAGUUCCGACCCGCACGAAAGGCGUAACGAUUUGGGCACUGUCUCAACGAGAGACUCGGUGAAAUUUUAGUACCUGUGAAGAUGCAGGUUACCCGCGACAGGACGGAAAGACCCCAUGGAGCUUUACUGUAGUUUGAUAUUGAGUGUCUGUACCGCAUGUACAGGAUAGGUAGGAGCCGUAGAAAUCGGAACGCUAGUUUCGAUGGAGGCGCUGGUGGGAUACUACCCCUGCGUUAUGGCCACUCUAACCCGCACCACUAAUCGUGGUGGGAGACAGUGUCAGAUGGGCAGUUUGACUGGGGCGGUCGCCUCCUAAAAGGUAACGGAGGCGCCCAAAGGUUCCCUCAGAAUGGUUGGAAAUCAUUCGAAGAGUGUAAAGGCAGAAGGGAGCUUGACUGCGAGACCAACAAGUCGAGCAGGGACGAAAGUCGGGCUUAGUGAUCCGGUGGUUCCGCAUGGAAGGGCCAUCGCUCAACGGAUAAAAGCUACCCUGGGGAUAACAGGCUUAUCUCCCCAAGAGUCCACAUCGACGGGGAGGUUUGGCACCUCGAUGUCGGCUCGUCGCAUCCUGGGGCUGUAGUCGGUCCCAAGGGUUGGGCUGUUCGCCCAUUAAAGCGGCACGCGAGCUGGGUUCAGAACGUCGUGAGACAGUUCGGUCCCUAUCCGUCGCGGGCGUUGGAAAUUUGAGAGGAGCUGUCCUUAGUACGAGAGGACCGGGAUGGACUUACCGCUGGUGUACCAGUUGUUCUGCCAAGGGCAUUGCUGGGUAGCUAUGUAGGGAAGGGAUAAACGCUGAAAGCAUCUAAGUGUGAAGCCCACCUCAAGAUGAGAUUUCCCAUUUCUUUAAGAAAGUAAGAUCCUGAGAGAUGAUCAGGUAGAUAGGUCAGAGUGGAAGUACAGUGAUGUAUGGAGCGGACUGAUACUAAUCGAUCGAGGACUUAACCAA